GUUAAUUUUCAUCUUCUUCAUCUCCUGUUGUUUUUACAUCUUCUUCAACAAAUCUACCAUUAUUAUUGUUUUAUGUGUUGCUAAUAUUAUUCUACACUCCGUCGCCGUUUGUUUCAUCAAUUUAUUGCACCGUUUCUCCAUAAAUGGGAACCGUAGUAGAUCCUUCUUCGCUGGGAGACAAUCAAUCCAUUCUCUGAUGAUGUUGUAGAAAACACAGUUCGUGAAGCAAGCAGCAGAUUUUUGCCAAUGGCGUAGUAAUGUCUACAGCACAAAAGAAGAAACUAAUAGAGGACUUUUAUGGGACGGAGGCACCCUAAGAAGUAGAUGUUCACCCAGCAGAAGUCGCCAGCACGAAGGGAUCUGGUAGUAGAGUCCCCUCAAGAGUGGAGAAGGCUUUGAAGCUUAAGAGCAAGCCUAUGUGUCAAUGCAAGAAAUGUCAGGAGUGGGGUCACCGCGAUUGAAGGAAUUGCGACAAAUUCAAAGAGAAAGAAAAGCGACGGUCUAGAAGAAAUUUUGAAGUUUGAUACCAUGUAUUCUCUUUUUUGAAGUAACGUCAGUUUAAGUUUUUUAUUGGACUCCAUUUUAUUUGCAUUGUGAGGUUGUUU